rnacentral:lncRNA from 13 species
CAGUAUUGAACCUGUUGCUGCAUUAGCCGAGUUGUAUUUUGCUAGAUAGGAGAAGGAGGGUUGUCUGCUGUCUGGUAGGAGGGCUUUGUCUGUGUGCGCCUUUCUCUCUCUCCCUCUCUCGCUCUCCCUGUCUCUCGCACUCUCGCUCGCUCUCGCUCGCUCUCUCUCGCUCGCUCUCCCUUUCCCGUCUCUGUGGUUUGUAAGCAUAAGAAAGAAGUGUUGAGAGCUGCUCUUAACCCUUUUGGAGGCCGAAGUCUAAAGGGAACUAGAGGGCUUGACGCAUCCUUUACAUCCUGCAUUUACUCUGACCACAGUCCCUCCCUGUUCUCACAAGCAGAGCUCAGCCCUGCUUCCCUUCCUGUUGAUUCCCAGUCAGCUACAUGACUGCCUGAAGUUACAUUGUAGAUGCUGAAAUCACUGCACCUUAAAAACAAAAAGAUUAAGCCACACUGCAUUCCUGUAAGUAAAAGCUUUUCCGGUACCUUUUGUCCGUAUUUUUCCUCUAUAUGCAUCCAACGUGUUAGCACAGUAGCUGGUCUUGGAUAAAGGUCAGAGUCCCCUUGAAUGGGAUUUAGAAGUUCAAAGGAUGUUUUAUUUAAAAAUUAAAAAGGAACUUACAUCUUGCAGAUCUUUAAUUUCAGACCACUGAAUAGGUCAUUCUUUCCUGCUUUGUUUUGAAUAUUAGGAGGAAUACUGUGCAUCUCUGUUUGUUGACUUACAGUUCCUGUCGCUUUGUCAGCGAGGAUUUCUGCACGUUGGUGCAGAGAUAACAGAAAGUAGCAGAAGAUUCCUUAUAGCAGAAAACAUAGUUUGUUCUCUUCUCAUGAUGUCGUAACAAAUUCUUCUCCUUCGUACAAGAAAAAAACAAACAACUUUCUGAUGACAUCAUGGGGGACUUCAGCUGCUCUAGGGUGUAGAUGAAGGCAGAAAUGCCUAAUUCAUCUCUGCUGUGACACGACAAAACAGUCAAAAUAACAGCUACAUCUCUCAGCAAGAAAGGAGUAUUUUUCUAAGAGCAUAGUUAUUCCAUAAAGGCAAGUCAGAUUGCACAUCACUCUGAUCUACCCAUAUUUAGAAUCCGUUUAUUGAAUGUAUUUGGGUUAAUAAUUAAGAUUUGGAACUUCAGUGACUGAACAACAGGCAUGCAAAAGAGGAUUGGAAAAUAUAGCAUAUUUAGAUACUUUCAGUCUAAUGAAAUAAUAUAUGACAAAAUCCAGAAGCUUGUAGAAAGGGGAAAAAAGAUCAAUUUCAGUUGAACAGUACAAAGCUGUGGAAUAUUACAAAGCAAAGUCAGUUUGUUUUCUUGUUUAAGAUCAAAAUGUGCAGUCUGUAAUGAAACCCAGAGCCUGCUUCUAAAGUGGUACUUUUGUACUCCAGUUUUAAAAUACUUUAACUAUUAUAGGGGAUUUAUCAUGCCUUUACACCCCCCCCCCCCUUAUUUUUUAAUAUAUUUUAAUGUUUUAUUGUAAACUAGCUGGAGGGUACAGUUACACUGUGGGCAGCUAAUGCCUGCCCCUGCAGCACACAGCGCCAAGCAUGACUCAGACAGGCAGAUUGUGCCAUUCUGGCUCUACUCCACUGUGUUUUUACAUUACUGGCAAGGGCCAUGCCAUUGUGUUGUUUAAAUAUUGUGUAUUAACUGCAGGCUGUGGCCAGUGAAUGGUAUUUAACAUUUUCUGCUCUUCAUUGCUGAAUGUGAGCAGCUUCCUUGGCCAUCAGAGGUUAACCUUGCAAUUACACUAGUGAGCCGAGUUGAAAACACUCGUGGAUUUGCUGGGUCCAGCAGCAAUUUAAAGGGAGGUGUUCAGGGAAAAAUGGGGAAACUCUUCUGAAUCUGUGAGUACCAAAUUUCAUGCUUGUCUUGCAAUUUAGUGUGAACAACCGGGAAAAUUUUUGUUGGAAAGCAGGAGUAAUUCUCUUUCCAAAAUGCAGCAGCAGCAGCAUAAGAGUGAAUUGAGGCAAGUUCUUUGAAUCCUUAGGAUCCAGAUGGUCACUAAGUCCUCCAUGGACAGCCCAAGAAAAAAUAAGAGUAGCAAUUGGUGCUGGCUGGGAUGAGCUUUUUUUAGUUACAUGAGAUUGUAAACUUUGAAGGGGAAAUAAAUGCACAAGUUUAAAACUCAUGUAUAGGAAAUAUUUUUUGUUUUCUUUUUUUAUCAAAAGUGUCAAGUGCAUCCACACAGAGAUGUUGAGCAGAUUUCUCAAGGUCCAAGUAAAUCAGUGGUCCAACUGGAAAUGGAGUGUGGGAUCAUGACUCCUAAGACUCUCCUGCCUAGGUCUUUCCAUUCCAUAAAGUAAAGGUCCAUAUUUUUAAUCCUUGAGUUUCUUGUGCUAAUAGCUUAAAAAAUCCACAAACAAACAAAAGAAGCUGCAACAAAACAACACCCACAAAACCCCCCCACUUUUAAACUUUUAGCUGCUUUUAAGUUCUGUAGGCUUGGGAUAGUCUGUCUCUGGAAUACAGAAGAACAAGGUGAGGAAAGUUUUACAUAAGCACACGUAUCCUGUAAGAUGAGGAUGUGGUUCUUGCUAUACCUCGUGUCCAUGUAGCUAGUUACUUGGCACAAUAAAAAUAGUGGCACUUUUUAUAGAGGAAGGUAUGCUUUAAGGAUUUCCUUUGUUUCCUGUAUGUUUGCUGUAAUCAGGUGUUUCUAAUUGUAAGAUCCUAAAUAAGGUGAACUUGGCACAAGGUCUUUUCUGUAUUAACCCAAAAACAGCAAAGAAAAAAGGCAAGCCAUAUCCUGGUAGUUUUGUAUUUUAUUUCUUCAAUGAAAGUGUGGAAAUCUGCUUUGAUGUUAGGAUGUCCCUAAAGUGGCUGAUUAAUAUAAGAUGAGCCAAAUUUUUGGCUAAUAUAAAAUACUUGACUUGGUACAUGGCAUUAGAAGAAAAUACAGGUACAUAACACCUGAACAUCUGUCAGACAGUUGCA